GGGAGUGGUGUGGCCUGGGCUCAUAAGACAGGGGAGGUAAUGGUGUAGCCUGGGCCCAUAAGACCGGGAAGGGAGUGGUGUAGCCUGGGCCCAUAAGACAGGGGAGGGAGUGGUGUACCCUGGCCACAUAAGACAGGGGAGGUAGUGGUGUAGCCUGGGCCCAUAAGACAGGGGAGGGAGUUGUGUAGCCUGGGCCCAUAAGACAGGGGAGAGAGUGGUGUAGCCUGGUCCCAUACGAUAGGAGAGGGAGUGGUGUGGCCUGGGCUCAUAAGACAGGGGAGGUAAUGGUGUAGCCUGGGCCCAUAAGACCGGGAAGGGAGUGGUGUAGCCUGGGCCCAUAAGACAGGGGAGGGAGUGGUGUACCCUGGCCACAUAAGACAGGGGAGGUAGUGGUGUAGCCUGGGCCCAUAAGACAGGGGAGGGAGUGGUGUAGCCUGGGCCCAUAAGACAGGGGAAGGAGUUGUGUAGCCUGGGCCCAU
ensembl:lncRNA